CUUCUUUCCUUUGUUCCUUGCCCUAUCGUGGUUUCUGUAUCAGUUCCCUUUUAGCGCUUGUUGUGUUCAGUUGUGUUUCUCCGUAUUGACCUUGGCUUUGUUUCUGACUACGUUUUCUCUUUAUCCUUAUCUGUUCUGGUUGUCGGCUUGUUGUUUUCUGUGUACCAGACCCCGGCUUGUCCUAGUUUACGCUGUCUCUCUGUGCCCUUGAUUUCGGAUUGUUCCUGACUCUGUCUCCUCUCAUAUACGUCGAGUCCGGCCAUUCUAAGGUCCGGUAGACGUAGCUCUCCUCUGUGUUGUCUUUUGUUUAGC